AGCAUCUGUGUGCAUCUUUGUUCCCCUGAUAGGUAAAAGAAUGAAAGACAGAUGCAAAAAAAAAAAUCAAUCCUCUUUUGCAGCCCAGAGCUCAUUGUUUAGCAGAGUUUUGAAACGUAGAAGAAGGAGUAUG